ACAGUGAUGAAACUGAUCUUUCAGAACCAGACCACACCUGCAGUAUCAUGGUAGUAGGGGUUAAACCACAUGGCACAAUGCAGUUACUUCUCCUGCAAGGAAGCCAGCCCUGCAGACAUUCAUAACGUGAUUUCCCCAGGUCCGCUCUAAAUAGAUCUGUGUUAUUUUGGAGAGUUAAAAUCCACUUCAUGCUUCCCUUAAUCAUUGGCUCUUUACCAGAAAUCCCUUUCUGCCAAAAAACGCCUAGCGAGAGGUUGAACCUCUCUUGGAAGAGCUUCAGUUUUGUGGUUCAAGGCCUUAGACUUUCAUAUAAUGCAAAUAAGUCUAGAAAGAAGGUAAUACCUUAUGAUGUUAUGAAUAUUUAAAAUUGGUAUAAAAUAUUCAGUGACAUUUUAUUGAAAAUAGAGGGCCGUGCAGGGUUCCCAAAUACAGUAAGAGUGCUCACAGGCUAUAUGUCGACCCUCACGCAGGCUGUACAUAGUGGGGUGGCACCAGCCUCUAAGAGAUUUGAAAGAAGCAGCAGAACUGGAAGGGGUUUCUUAUCCUUCCUGUCACCUACUGGGAAUAGCAAACUCGCUGUCCAGUCCAAGGCUUCACACUAAUUCACUUAGUCCAGAGUCAGGCACAUCAUGUCACUAGGCUAUCAUGUUUAUUGAUAGACCAUUUGUUUCCAAGUUUUCACCACUGAUUAGUUUGAAAAGGUUAUACCUGUGAAAUUUCACCUCUUAAAUAAGAAUUUCUCAUUUUUAUUUAUUAAAAACAACAUAAAUAAAUAUUUUUGGUCUGAUUAGUGUAACUAGUGCUAACUAAAUUCAUGUAAUCCUAAGCAAAAGCAAGGAAUCAGUGCUCAUUUCUCGUGAGUAACUGUACAACUUUGCGAGCUUUUUGCAAUGUUUAAAAUGCUUUUAAGACUCCCGCUUUCUACACACGGCUCUUUUAAAGUCCUCUACUAUUUCAGCAGUUCAGAUUGUAAACCAGUGAGCCAGGGUGAUCUUUAAAAUCCCUCCAGUUCUGACAUUUCUUUGGUUUAAUGAAUCUUGGUUUCAGUUUUGCCAGAGACACUUCUGCUGUAUUCCAUUGUUGGCUGCCCUGCCGUAGGGCUUCACUCUCUCCAGUAACAAAUGUCUUCCACCUUCUAUAACUGAAAGACUUAAUGAGCAUUUUCAGCAGAAAGAGGGAAGGAAACGAUAGAGAACUGCAUUACGGGCUGCCUUUCAGACAUCUUUUAAGAACACACAAACCUAAAGCAGCCUAAUGGGAAAGUAAAUAGAACCCAAAAUAGUAUCUCUGGUCCAGAAUCAUCACUGACCUUUAUUCCUUUCACAGUUCCUUUCCUGUUGGUUGCUUUCCUCUUUCAAAAUGAGAAUUUCUCUUUGGCAUUUGAAAGAUUAUUCCUGGAGAACUUGAGAUUGUCUGUGUUCCUUUCAGUGUUUUAAGAAAAAGGAAAAUUAAUUGCUUGCAUCUUUCAUCUGAAUGGAGUUUGUUUUUGUUUUUGCUUUUGCUAUUAAUUUCAACCUGUAACAAGUGGAACACUAAUGUUCUGGCAAACCAAAAUAGAUUCAUUAAUAUUCUUUAAAUUCCUGGCAGUUCAUUUAGGAAGUAGGUGUUAUUUUAAAUGGAAAUUUACAGACUUAAAGAAAUAAUAAUAUACAUUCAAAUAACCCUUUACAAUUUAUAAUGCACUUCUGAAGAGUACAGAUUGGUAGUAUUGAUUUGCCCUAGCUUCUCUUAUGUGCCUCCUCCAACCUUGGAGUAAUAAUUGAUUUGAUCUUCCCUAUCUGUAGAGAGAAUUCAUAAGUACAUUUCUAUGUGUGUGGUUUGAAUUAAAUAGAUAACAGGAUAAAUGUGAUUUUACAGUGUUCAUUUAGAAUCUACUUCUUUCCAGGUUUUUCCUCUUUUAUGAACUAUGAAAAAUUGAGAAUGACACUAAUACCCCAAAAAUACUAUUUAGGAAAAGUGGGAACAACCAAAAGUCCCAGGGUACUGAUUAGAUAAAUUACAAGUCAUCCCCCCCAAAUUGAAUUAUAAUGCAUCUUUUGAAGAUCAUAUUUUAGGGGACUGUUAAGAACGUUCUUAAAUUUACUGUUACAGGUAAAAAGAAAGGUGUAUACUUACGAUCUGACCCCAUUUGGUGUAUGUAUCUAUUCACUCAGCAAGCGCAUUUCAUGAGCCUUUCCUUUGUUUAGAGCACUGCGAUGAGAACUGGGAAUACAUUUCUCAACCAAAGAGUCCCUUCCCUCAAAAUCAUAUGCAUGAACCAAGGAUUACAGGCAGAACCAACCAAAAUGCUGACAGUUUGGGAUUUUUUUGAACUCGUCUAUACUUUUCAGAAUCUUAAGAAGAUUACAUAUAUUGACUCAUAUGCAGAAUAAAACAUAAAUACAUUUUUUAACUUUACUCACUUCAUGCUUACAUGAAGAAAAAUUCUCGCAGAAAAAAAAAAAAAGCAGUAUCAUUACAUCAUGGUAGUUAUGAUAGUCUUUACAAUACGUUGCUACUCUCCAGAAUAAGGGGAAAACUACUCAAAAGAGCACACUCUUUUCUGGUAUUUCCAUUUUGCAACUAAAAGAGGCUUGCUUUAAAAAUUUAGUCAAAUGUCUCCAGGGAGAAUUGAUACAAAAAUGGGAGCUUUACUCUAUUAGUAAUGCUUUGGCUAUUCAAAAUUUGUAUAAUAUCAUUUAACAUCUUUUCAGUAAAGUAGAACACCAUGUACUGUAUGUCAUUUUAAAUUCUGCGUAAAAAUCCCACUUAGGAGUUCCUGUCAUGGCUCAGCGGUAACAAACCCAACUAGUAUCCAUGAGGACAUGAGUUCAGUCACUGGCCUCGCUCAGUGGGUUAAGGAUCCAGCGUUGCCGUGAGCUGUGGUGUAGAUCACAGAUGUGGCUCAGAUCUGGCGUUGCUGUGGCUGUGGUGUAGGCUGGCAGCUGCAGCUCUGAUUGGACCCCUAGCCUAGGAAAUUUUAUAUGCCUCUGGUGUGUUCCUAAAAAGACAACAAAAACCCAAAAAUCCCACUUAAAGAUCUCAUUAAAUAGUUGAUCAGUUUAUAAUUAUCACUGGAAAAACUUUUGAUUCCAUUAGGUUUCUAGAUGUAAUGCAUAAUUCAAAAAAAUCCCUGUUGAUUGUAAGUUAACUUUGUGAAGGUCGUCUACAUUUUUCAUAAGCCUCAAAUUAAGCAGUAUUCAUUUUUUUCUUAUGCCCUUGUUGAUGAGAAGGUUAAUUUUUGUUAGAACUUUGUAGAUGAUUAGAAGUUCAAAUUAAUAUUAAAAGAUUUGACAGGAACUCUGCUGCUUUUUUAGUUGUAAAAAUUAGGCCAUGAUUUCAAUGAUUAAGUUUUGCUGCACCCUUAAAUAAAUUUCAAAAUCAUACAGAGAAAAUAACAGUUAAACUUGAAGCAACCAAGGAUAUUCAUGUUUCUGCUGCCAGUAGACCAUUUUCACAAAAUCAAGGUGAUUAAUAUACAUCAUUGUCUUCACUUUAGUUAUUUUCGAUUUAACAGGCAGAAAAUAAUCCAUUUGCUCUUUUCUGCAGUACUCAGAAUUUUCAGUUUCACUCAGCAGAUAUGAAUUGGAUCCUUUGCAUUUGUUUAUUCCUCCAUCAGAAAUUCAUUUGAAAUUGCUUUCCGAAGGAGAAAGGAAUGAAUCUGGGUUUUGUGAAUGCUAAAUAUGAUACAGAUAGGUGCUUUAAACUUCAACAGUGUUGACUUUGUAUCAGAUGAGGGUGAAUGUCAGAAGAUUAACUGGUUUUUCUAUGUAGUCACUAUCCAUAUCUCUUUAAAGAUUCUUUGAUCACAAAUAAAUCUGGGUAGAAGUAUCAGAAGUUCUAUGAGAUCAGUCUUGCAUUAAAUCCAAACCAAAUUGUCCUUGUUCUUGUCCUGUCUUAUCCUAACAGAACAAAUAAGCUAAAAAAAAAAAAAAAAAAAAUUGUGUCUAUUGGAAAGCCAAUAUUUUUCUAAAAGUUUAAAAACAUUAGUGAAUUUAGAUGAGUUUAGAAACCUUUGACCCCAUAGUUUCAGUUUCUUCAUGAAAGUUUUGUUGGGCAGUGAAUUUUACAGAAUAGUCUGUCUGGUUCAUGUAGGAGAGUCUUUUGUCCACUUAACAUAUAUGUACACCGUCAUGUAACAAUAAGAAUUCAUAAUCCACGGUGAUUAUUAUGGACAAUUUGAAGAACUCUGUAUGUGAGAUUCUGAAGAAGAAUGGAGAUGUCCAGUGGGUCAAGAAUGUUCUCAUAACAGAAAAGUCAGCCAUAAAUGUGGACCUUUACAUAAGAAAAAAAAAUGUGUAAAGAAAUUUGGUUUAUUUAAAACAGAUUUUAUUUCAGAUAAGCAGAGGCAGAGAUAGCCUCAUUUAGUUUGAUAGUUGUCCAGAGGUUUUUCAACAUUAUUUUUAAAAUCUAGCUUUAUUACGAUACAAACGAUAUAUAAUGUUGUGUAAGUUUAAGGUGUACAAUGUGUUGAUUUGAUACACUCGUAUAUUACAAAAUGAUCACCACCACAGUCUUAGCUAACACUUGUACCACAUCACACAAUUACUCUGUAUGUCUUUCUCACUAUGCUUAACAGUUGAUGAGACCUCACUCCCUCCAUGUAUUUAUUUGAAGCUGUUUAUUUCCAGUAUACAUACCUUCUUUGAUAACCUUUUCUUAGAAAUGAGAGAUUAUGUGAUUAAAAUGAAUCAGAUUAAAAUUCAGUGU
rnacentral:lncRNA from 1 species